rnacentral:rRNA from 1 species
UACGUAGGUGCGAGCGUUGUCCGGAAUUACUGGGCGUAAAGAGCUCGUAGGUGGUUUGUCGCGUCGUCUGUGAAAUUCCGGGGCUUAACUUCGGGCGUGCAGGCGAUACGGGCAAUACUUGAGUGCUGUAGGGGAGACUGGAAUUCCUGGUGUAGCGGUGAAAUGCGCAGAUAUCAGGAGGAACACCAAUGGCGAAGGCAGGUCUCUGGGCAGUUACUGACGCUGAGGAGCGAAAGCAUGGGUAGCGAACAGGAUUAGA